AAAAAAAGAGCCAAAAAAAAAAAAAAAAUCAGGAGUUACCCUCGUGGCUCAGCAGAAAAAUGAAUCUGACCAGUAUCCAUGAGGAUGUAGUUUCCAUCCCUGGCCUUGCUCAGUGGGUUAAGGAUCUGGUGUUGGCAUGAGCUAUGGUGUAGGUGGCAGAUGUGGCUCGGAUCUGGCAUUGCUGUGGCUAGAUUUGACCCUAGCCUGUUAACCUCCAUAUGCCACGAGUGCAGCCUUAAAAAAAAAAAAAAAAGUCCAAUGCAUCAGUGGAACAGGAGAGUCUAAAGACAGAUCCACACAAAAUAUAGUCAAUUGAUUUGGAAAAAGACAUCAAGGCAAUUCAGUGGGUAAAGGAAAAUUAUAUACCAACAAAUUGUGUUGAAAUAACAAGAUACUUACAUUGGAAAAAAUGAACCAUGACUGUAUCUCGUACCACGCACAAAAAUUCGUUCAAAAUGUAUCACAAACCUAAGCAUAAAAAGGUAAAACUCUACAGCUUCUGUAAGAAAACCUAGGAGGCUAUUUUCACAGGCUUGGAGCAGGCAAAGUUUUUUUUAGAGCACAGAAAGCAAUAGCUAUAAAAGAAAAAAAUUGUGAAGUUUCUCUGGUGGCAUUGUCAGUGCUGUGGCUUGGGUCACUGAUGUGACUUGGGUUCUGUCCCUGGCCAGGGAACUUCUGCCUGCUGCAGGCAUGGCCCCAAGAAAGAAAGAAAGAAAUUAUUUUCUAUCUCCUUCUAAGAGGGAGCAACUCCCUCCCUUUUACCUAAACCUUGUCCUACUUUGUCCUAAAUAAUCUUGGCUGUGGAAUCUCUAGUUUGAUAGGUUUGUCAUUUUUCUCUAUUACGUAUUAAAACAAAUCCCUAACUCUUAAAUUCUUGUAAAUGUUUGAACAACCUAAAAUGUUCAUGCACUCUGUAUACGUUCUUGGGAAUAUGUGUGUGAAUGUGUGUGAGUGCGUAUGUGUGCCUCUGAAGGUGUGUAGAGGUGGGUGAGCGUGAGCAUGUGUAAGGGUGCAUGAAUAUGUAUGAGCGUGGGGACAUGGCAGGUGAGUAAGUGUGAAUGUGCAUGAAUAUGUGACUGCAUGUAUGUCUGAGUGUGUCUAAGUGUACAUGUUCCUGAUUGUGCCUGACUGCAUAGUGUGUGUGAGUGUUGGGGUGGGAUGGGGCUGGAGGAAAACUAGACUGUCUACAAAGUGAUGAGUCAUAGCGGGAGGUGACCAUCUCCCCCUGUGUGCGCGCGCGUGCACAGCAGUGACCCCUGCUCACCAGGAAACAGGCAGGGCAGAGAAAAGGCAGGCAAGCCAAGCCCCUCCAGCCACUUCUUGCUUAAUAUCCUUAGGCCCUCAGAGGAGAGGUGGAAGUCUCCUUGGCCGAAGGAGCACCUGCUUACAGCCAGCAUCCUGGUAACCAUCACCAGGGACGGGGAGUACUUCUGGGAACAGCAGGAGCCAGCAGGCGGGGGCAGGUCCUCUGCUGCUAUAUUUACAGGCCUGGAUUUAGCUCAGGACCUCGAGAUGGGGGACAGAGCUCCUAAGUUUUUUGAUAUGCUCAUCUCCCUGGCAACGUUGUGUAAGGGAUAUGUUUUAGGAGCUCAGAGGGGUUAGAUAAAUUGCUCAAUGUCACACUGCUAAGAUAUUUGGAACCAGAGCAGGACCCAAGUCAAGGGUUUUCCCAGUGUAGUUCAGGCAGCACUGUACCCUCCAAAGCCCUGAGCCAGCUAUUCCCUGCACGUGAGAACUAGGGCAGUAUUGCCAAGUGCCACCAGAUUUCACCCUGGCUGUUAUCAUAUGGGUCUACUCCUGUGGUCUUAGAUAAGCAGUUCUUUUGCCAAUUCCCAUGCCAAACCCUUCAGCCAGGAAGUAGCUGGCAUCUUGUGCAGAGAAAGCCCAUGAGCAGGAUAACACUCCACAUAGCAACUGGCAUGCAAAGCACUGAUAGACCAGGACUGAUUUCAAAUUGGGUCCUGGAGGUGGAGGAGGGCCUCCGGGGAAGGGUAGGGGUGACCAGAGGAUUGGGGGUGUUUGGGGGGGGCUCAGGGUUGGGACCACUUACCAACAGGCAUGGAAGCAUUUCAAUAUUUAAAUAAUCCUGAUAUUCUGGCUGCAUGUCAGCCUUGUAUGAAGGCUCCUGGGGUUUUCAGUCUUCUCAGAGGUAGAAGAUGAGGAAGUUCCUCUCUCUGUCCUUCCUCCGUCCCCUACACCCGUGCAUGGUGGGCUGAGCCCCUCGGUGCCAGGCACAAUACUAGAGACUGAAGACGUUAAAAUCUGGAACUCUGCCUGCACCCCUGGAGCUCCUGUCCUACUUCGCAAAGAGACAUUCUCGCAAGAAUCGGCCCCAGUCCUAGGCAGUAGAGGUGCCAGGUUUUUACUGGUCAAGGGCAGCAUUCCCUGAAUGCCUGGGUCCCAGGUCACAUGUUACUUUGUGGAGUCCAGGGCAGAGGCCUAACGCACACAGGGCACUCAGGUUGGCUCUAGAACUCAGCCCCCCCACGGUCUCAUAUAGGUUCACAUGGCUGAUAUAGUCACGAACCCUUCAGGCUCAAGAGGCUUCCAUUUAUUUACUGAUUUGGUCUUUUUAGGGCCAAACCAGUGGCAUAUGGAAGUUCCAAGGCUAGGGGUCCAAUCAGAGCUAUAACUACCAGCCUACACCACAGCCACAGCAAGGCUGGAUUGGAGCCGCGUCUGUGACCGACACCACAGCUCUCACAGCAAUGCCAGAUCCUUAACCCAUCGAGCGAGGCCAGGGAUCAAACCCGAGUCCGCAUGAAUACUAGUCAGGUUUGUUACCACUGAGCCACGUUGGGAACUCCAAGAGGCUUCUCUUUAAAGAGAGCGAGUAAAGUUUGUGGCAGGCAGGAUUGUGACCAGCUCAGGGUGGAUGGGAAUUUAGAAGGCCCCAGACGUCUGCCUAAGGACCUGCCUUCCUCCUGCUUAGUGGUUCCUAAACUGAAGUGAAACUGAAUCACUCUAGGGGGUUAAUAGUUAAGCAUGUAUUUUAAUAUGAAAUGGAGAAAAAUGACAAACCUAUCAAGCUAGGGAUUGUCCAGCACUCUCCAUGGCAGAUCCCAGGGGCCGGUAUUAGCCCCCCGCCCCCCGGCACAGGAAACUCCAGCCCUGUGUCCAUCUCAAAGUCCUGCGGGAGGGAGCUGGAGUAACAGCCCCACCAAGAAUGCCACAAGGAAAGAGAUUCCUCCUUAAAAAAAAUCUGGGUGCUGCUUUCAGAAGAAAGGCAGAAUAUAUGCUAGGCAGAUAACAGCAAAUGUCCCCAGCUGAUUUCUGGGGGAGGAGGGUGAUGCUAUGGAAAGACACAGACUCUGGGAUAGGGGGACUUGUAAUUAAGACCCCAGCCCUGGCACUUCUGCUCUGUAACUGUGGACCCACCCCCACUCCCUUAGACCCUGACAGAGACUUCCAACUGCUGUUAGGAAAAGGCUCUGAUUUUUUUUUUUUUAAUGAUUUUUAUUUUUUCCAUUAUAGCUGGUUUAUAGUGUUCUAUCAAUUUUCUACUUACAGCAAGGUGACCCAGUCACACAUGCAUAUAUACAUUCUUUUUUCUCACAUUAUCAUGUUCCAUCAUAAGUGACUAGAUAUUCUAAAUACUUUAAAAGCUCUGUGUGAUCUGGCCCUGACUCAUGUCUCUCAACUGUCCCCAGAGGCACGGCCUGGACCUGGGCCAUCCCUUCUCUCUGCAAAGCUCUUCCUCUCCCUCUGCACAGUUUAUGCCUCCUCAGCCUUCAGACCUCGUUCAAACCCUCACCUGCCUGAGGAAGCCCUCUGAGCGAGGGUUCUCCAGAGAAACAGGACAUCGCUAGCUCUAUCUUUUAUCUCUGUCUCACCUCUACAGAUAUAAAGAGAUUUUAAGGAAUUGGCUCACAUGGUUGUGGGGGCUGGCAGGUCUGAAAUUCGUAGGGCAGGUGGGCCAACUGGAAAUUCCAGUAAGAAUGCCUGUUGCAAUCUUGAGUCUGAGAUCCACAGGGUAGAAGUUUGGAAACCCAGACAAGCAGGGUUUCUAUGUUGCUUUCUUAAGGCAAAAUUCCUUCAUCCUCUGAAACCUCAGCCUUGGCUAAAGCCUUCAACUAAUUGGAUGAGGCCCACCCACCUUAUAAAGUGUAUCUACUUUACUUAAAAUCCACUGAUAGGAUUUUGCAUUAUUUAUUCUCAGGAUUCCAGAUGCUUAUUCAAUCCAAAGAUUUAGAUUUUUCUUCAGUUGUGGUGCAGUGGAAAUGAAUCCCACUAGUAUCCAGGAGGAUGCAUGUUUGAUCCCUGGCCUCUCUCAGUGGGAUCUGGUGUUGCCAUGAGCUGUGGUGUAGGACACAGAUGCGGCUCGGAUCCCACACUGCCGUGGCUGUGGCAUAGGCCGGCAGAUGCAACUCUGAUUUGACCCCUCGCCUGGGAACUUCCAUAUGCCGUGGGUGCAUAAAAAGAAAAAAAAAAAAAAAA
rnacentral:lncRNA from 1 species